rnacentral:lncRNA from 12 species
CUCCUCAAUCUUUUGCCAUCUGGAAACUUUGCUCUUACUUUGCUGACUUUAGUGUAUAUCUUUUUGCUCUAUUACUCCUUACUUAAAGGAGGAGUGUCCCAGUUUAGGACAAAUCUGGGGAAAGACCUCCAAAGGAGCCCCCCCAGAGAGUAUACCCCCCACAAUUCCUUCCUUCAUAUGGGCUCGGAAAGAAUUCUCCUCAGGGGAAAAAUGGAAAAAACUUAUUUAUUGAAAAAAUACAAGAGAAAACACUUCCCAGCACAGACCCAGAUGACAAGAACAGUUUUCACCGAGUGAGAGACGAUCUUCUUCUUCGCUGGGAAGGGCAGAAAGCUUCUUUGGCAGGAUUCCAGAGGGAGUCUCUGAGGCUUAGAUCCGUCCUCCCGGAGCCGGUGCUGAUCUUCGGGGGGUGAGGGGAAGAAGGGAGAGAGAAGGGGGGACAGCAACCAGCAGGCUGGGGCGCAGGCAGAAAGCCGGGGGGCCAGCAGCAAGCAGCAAAGCGGCAAAAGCCCCGGAGGCCAGCCCCCAACUCCCCCACAGCAGCUCGGGGGAGGGGCCGGGGCCACCACGGGAGCAGACAGCUCCAUGGCGGGGGCAGGGAGAGGAGCUAGUCAUAACACCAACCCAGGACGAGGAGGACAGAAGUGUUGCCAGUGUGAACAACUAAAACCAAACCACAGAAGUGCAGUUGUACUGACUUUUUCCAAUUACACAGCCAAUGAAGGGAGAUGGAAGCAAGGCAGAUGAACACUUGUAAUAUGAAGUUGGGUAACCCAAGAGGAUUG